UGGGGAAUUUUGGACAAUGGGGGAAACCCUGAUCCAGCCAUCCCGCGUGUGCGAUGAAGGCCUUCGGGUUGUAAAGCACUUUUGGCAGGAAAGAAACGUCAUGGGUUAAUACCCCGUGAAACUGACGGUACCUGCAGAAUAAGCACCGGCUAACUACGUGCCAGCAGCAGCGGUAAUACGUAGGGUGCAAGCGUUAAUCGGAAUUACUGGGCGUAAAGCGUGCGCAGGCGGUUCGGAAAGAAAGAUGUGAAAUCCCAGAGCUCAACUUUGGAACUGCAUUUUUAACUACCGGGCUAGAGUGUGUCAGAGGGAGGUGGAAUUCCGCGUGUAGCAGUGAAAUGCGUAGAUAUGCGGAGGAACACCGAUGGCGAAGGCAGCCUCCUGGGAUAACACUGACGCUCAUGCACGAAAGCGUGGGGAGCAAACAGG
rnacentral:rRNA from 1 species